CGUCCAGACUCCUACGGGAGGCAGCAGUGGGGAAUAUUGCACAAUGGGGGAAACCCUGAUGCAGCAACGCCGCGUGAGUGAAGAAGUAUUUCGAUAUGUAAAGCUCUAUCAGCAGGGAAGAAGAUGACGGUACCUGAGUAAGAAGCCCCGGCUAACUACGUGCCAGCAGCCGCGGUAAUACGUAGGGGGCAAGCGUUAUCCGGAUUUACUGGGUGUAAAGGGAGCGUAGGCGGCAAUACAAGUCGGAAGUGAAAUACCCGGGCUCAACCUGGGAACUGCUUUGGAAACUGUAUGGCUAGAGUGCUGGAGAGGUAAGCGGAAUUCCUAGUGUAGCGGUGAAAUGCGUAGAUAUUAGGAGGAACACCAGUGGUGAAGGCGGCUUACUGGACAGUAACUGACGUUGAGGCUCGAAAGCGUGGGGAGCAAGCAGGAUUAGAUACCCCGGUAC
rnacentral:rRNA from 1 species